GACAUAGGUGGCGAACGUUAUCCGGAAUUACUGGGCGUAAAGAGUGCGUAGGUGGUUUAAUAAGUUAGUGGUGGGAAAUCGGGGCUCAACCUCGUGGAAGUCAGUAAUACUAUUAAACUAGAGGGUCGGAGAGGUUAACGGAAUUCUAUGUGUAGCGGUAAAAUGCUUAAAUAUGUAGAGGAACACCAAACGGCGAAGGCAGUUAACUAUUCGAUUCCUGACGUUGAGGCACGAAAGCGUGGGGAGCAAGACGG
rnacentral:rRNA from 1 species